rnacentral:misc_RNA from 1 species
UAUUCGGCCACCGCAACUGAGAUCAAGAGAUGUCAGGGCGUGAAUGCUGUGAGAAUCCACCGGCUUUGAGCUCAAGUAGCGGAAAUGGGUGUGUGUUAAAAGUUGGAAGCUUCAACGCAUACGUCUCUGGUCCUUCCACUUCCAAACUCGCCAUCCUCCUUGUCUCUGACGUUUAUGGUUAUGAAGCCCCAAAUCUGAGGAACAUUGUUGACAAA